rnacentral:rRNA from 1 species
UACGUAGGCAGCAAGCGUUGUUCGGAGUUACUGGGCGUAAAGGGUGUGUAGGCGGUCUUCUAAGUCUGGUGUGAAAUCUCCCGGCUCAACUGGGAGGUGCGCCGAAAACUGGAAGGCUAGAGUGCGGGAUGGGAGAGUGGAAUUCCUGGUGUAGCGGUGAAAUGCGCAGAUAUCAGGAGGAACACCGGUGGCGAAGGCGGCACUGGUCGGCGAUACUGACGCUGAGGAGCGAAAGCGUGGGGAGCGAACAGG